GUUGUGUCCAAAUCAGUAACAAUUGUACUUUCUGUUCAGGACAUUCAAUCAUGACAUGAUCCAUGUGGAUGCUGUCCAUUGAUGAAAGAGUUUGUUCAGCGGUUUCUGGAUAGAAUUAAUUCCAAAGAUGGGAAAAAGUGCACAUCCAGACAAGGAGCAAGCAAAAAGACAAGGAACUUGGUGCAGAGAAAAGCUGUGGCCAUUAACCCCCAUGUGAACAGCUUCAUGCAGUCCCUGAUUGAGUUCGAAUGGACGACUUCAAAGUAAAGGCCACUGUGGUCUGUCUGCCACAGUUUAAUGCAUUUAUUUUUAGUGUUAAAUGAAAUUUAAGUAGAAUAUUUAAAACUAUGCGCCAGUGUUCUUUUUACCACAGUGAAAUGUUACCUUUAAGUCGAUGAUGGACUUUAAACUGAAAACUUCAAACUAUGGAA